rnacentral:rRNA from 1 species
UACGUAGGGGCGUAGCGUUAUCCGGAAUUACUGGGCGUAAAGGGUGCGUAGGUGGUUUCUUAAGUCAGAGGUGAAAGGCUACGGCUCAACCGUAGUAAGCCUUUGAAACUGAGAAACUUGAGUGCAGGAGAGGAGAGUAGAAUUCCUAGUGUAGCGGUGAAAUGCGUAGAUAUUAGGAGGAAUACCAGUUGCGAAGGCGGCUCUCUGGACUGUAACUGACACUGAGGCACGAAAGCGUGGGGAGCAAACAGGAUUAGAUACCCCGGUAGUCCCUGAGCGGG